CCUACGGGUGGCAGCAGUGAGGAAUAUUGGUCAAUGGGCGCGAGCCUGAACCAGCCAAGUAGCGUGAAGGAUGACUGCCCUACGGGUUGUAAACUUCUUUUAUAAAGGAAUAAAGUGAGGCACGUGUGCCUUUUUGUAUGUACUUUAUGAAUAAGGAUCGGCUAACUCCGUGCCAGCAGCCGCGGUAAUACGGAGGAUCCGAGCGUUAUCCGGAUUUAGUGGGUUUAAAGGGAGCGUAGGUGGAUGUUUAAGUCAGUUGUGAAAGUUUGCGGCUCAACCGUAAAAUUGCAGUUGAAACUGGCAGUCUUGAGUACAGUAGAGGUGGGCGGAAUUCGUGGUGUAGCGGUGAAAUGCUUAGAUAUCACGAAGAACUCCGAUUGCGAAGGCAGCUCACUGGACUGCAACUGACACUGAUGCUCGAAAGUGUGGGUAUCGAACAGGAUUAGAUACCCCUGUAGUC
rnacentral:rRNA from 1 species